rnacentral:rRNA from 1 species
AACUAACGAGGAUUCCCCGAGUAGCGGGCGAGCGAAACGGGAAAAGCCCAGCGYUGAAUCCUGCGGCCCCGGCGGGCCGCCGGGAAAUGUAGCGUUCGGGAGGAGAGUUAAACAUAUACACGCGCGGUCAUUAGUCACGGCUGCCUGUCCAAGUUCGUCUUGAACGGGGCCGCUUACCCGUAGAGGGUGCCAGGCCCGUGGUGACGGUAGCCGGCCGCGACGGUCUCUCUCCCAAGAGUCGGGUUGCUUGAGAGUGCAGCCCUAAGCGGGUGGUAAACUCCAUCUAAGGCUAAAUACUANCCACGAGACCGAUAGCGAACAAG